CUGCAGUCAAUUAAAUCAACCUGGUUCCUUUCCUCAUGGGUCCUUAGUGUGCAGCGGCUGCAAACAGCAGCCUCCUUGGUAGUGUAUGCAGCCUGUUGUUUAUACAGGUUGCUAUAAGGGAUCUUGGUAACAGUU
ensembl:snoRNA SNORA70 Small nucleolar RNA SNORA70